CGGCGACCAUGCGUUUGGAUGGAACAUGAGCGCCAGAUCGAUUUGUUCAGCCGUGGUAGAUCACUGGCAUCUCAUGGGAAAUCCCGAGAUGGAUACCUUUAUACUCUCAUGAGCCCCCAAAAAGAAGUUCGGACAACUACUUCAAAAUACAAUCAAGGAGGUAGUUGAACCAGCGUCCAACUUGCCGGAUUAUUUUAAUUCAAAAGAUAAUUAGUUGAGGCCUAUUGGAUUCUACAACACCCGCUAACGGAUCCUUCUACUGGAUUGACUUGGGACACGUGGAGGGCAUACAGAUAGGAGGUAACUACCACCG